CCAUUGACCAUCGACCACACCAGCACCAGACUCCCUUAACAAAUGUGUCAGUUUAGUGAGUUGUUGAGUUGGAGACACUUUAUAAACUCUGUGAAACUCUGUCUCUGACUCAUUCUGCAUUAUUUGGACCUUCUUGUUCAUUCAGCAAAUGUUCUACAUGAACUUCUCUCUGUCUGUGAGUAGAAACAUGGAGUCUGUUCUCUGGUACUGAUGGUGACUCAGUCUGAACAUGAAAGCAGGUUCUGACUCGUCCACAGUGCAGACGUACUGUAAACACUCUGAUAGCAGCUUCCUGGUGUGACAGACGAUCCCUGGGAGCUGAUUGGCUGGUCUGAAGAUGUGGACGAAUAUGAUUAGAUUCAGUUUUCUGGACUGGAACAUAGACAUGAAAGAUGAUUUCAUCGUGUCAGAAUCUGAUCCUGAUCCUGCAGAACUCGUUAUCUCGGUGCUGAAGACUUCAGAUGAUCUUCCUUAGAAAUAAAAUUCAUAAAACAUUUGGCUCUUUUUUCCUUUUUAAUGUUUUUCUACAUUAAUCUUUGUUUGAUCAUCUGAGUGAUCAGUAGAACAUUUAUCAGCCGACAUGUCGAUGAGAGUUUGAUAUAAUCAAAAACUAAUCAGACGUGAUGAAUCAUGAACCUUCUAACAUUUAAAUGUUGAUGAGCUCCUGAUCAUGUUGAAGAUUUUAGACUGAAUGAAUUUCAGACUCAAAUUAGAAAACUGUAAUCAAAGCUGAUGUGUUUGUAUAUGAGCUGGUGUGUGCAGAGAGGCUUUUUAUCUGCUCAUUCAUUUUCUUCUCAGUUUGGUGUAAAUUAUUUCCUCUGCUGACUUGAGAACUGCGGAAAAAAAUGUUUCGGAGUGAAACUCUCGCCGGAAAGCAACCGAGUCUUCAUUUGAGACUGAAUAUGAGUCAAACCUUCGUGUAAAAGCAUAAUUACGCUCUACUACUAACGGCUGCGACACACAGGUGGACGGGUUGGACCGUCCAGCCCCGCCCACAUCGGGUCCAGCCCCGCCCAAAUCGGGUCCAGCCACGCCCACAUCGGGUCGAGCCCCGCCCACAUCCAGUACCUUGUGCUUCGUUCAGGACAGUGGGGAUUUCAGACUUCUAUGAAACUUGCUGCAUUUACGACACUUGUGAACUGUAGGACUUUGUAAUUUUCUUUUUAACGUACAUAAAUGUUAUCAACUAUUAAACUAAAUGGAAAAUCUGUAAUCCAAAAAAAGACAAAUGCAUUUAUAUUUUGUAAUAAACAUAGGCCUGCCUCUCUUCUUGGGUCAUUUGGCAUCUUCAUGGUAUGAAAUGGCAACAGAAUUUAAAGGCCUGCUGCAUUAUCUGUCAUUUUAACACAGCAU
rnacentral:lncRNA from 1 species